rnacentral:rRNA from 1 species
UAAUACGGAGGGAGCUAGCGUUGUUCGGAAUUACUGGGCGUAAAGCGCACGUAGGCGGCUAUUCAAGUCAGGGGUGAAAUCCCGGGGCUCAACCUCGGAACUGCCCUUGAAACUGGAUGGCUAGAAUCCUGGAGAGGCGAGUGGAAUUCCGAGUGUAGAGGUGAAAUUCGUAGAUAUUCGGAAGAACACCAGUGGCGAAGGCGACUCGCUGGACAGGUAUUGACGCUGAGGUGCGAAAGCGUGGGGAGCAAACAGG